rnacentral:lncRNA from 13 species
GUGCAGGGUGUGAUGAAUGGUGCCUUGUAAGAUGCUUCUUGUGAAGCUUGCCCACAGGAAUGAAUUAUAUGUAUAAUACAGACGCAUUUGUAUUAACUCUGCACAAAAUAUGAGGUAAGAUGAAAAAUGUCUGGAAAAGUGCCAGAGGAGAAAUGGGAAGUUUGUAGAAAGGUGAUAGGAAAGAAUAAGUAGUUAAAAUAAGCUAAUGUGUGGCUAGAGAGGAAAACAUAUUUAGAAGUAGGAUAGAUAAAACGUCAUGACAAGAGAGAAAACAGGAAGGAUAUUAUUGAAGAAAAACUGCCAGAAAAAUUGCAAAGUCUAAAAGGUCAGAGAGCCAUUUGAAAGAAGGGGAUUCAGAGAUCAAGGUCUAUGCCAGUGCCUUCCAGGCAGCCACCCUCUUGAAUAGAGUUGAUUUGUGGAUAUAUUUAGGUGCCUGGUUGAAAGACAAAACACAGCACUCAGAUCCUUUCUCUCAUCAUUUCAUCUUGACAUUGGUCAUUUUGCUAAGGAGACAAGGAUACAGAAAUCACUUAGGGAAAGUGAAGACAGAUAUUUUAAGAUGAAGAAACUGAAGAAAAAGAGGAUACGUUACCAGCCAAGUUCAUGGAAAUGUUAACUAAAGAAGCAGAUUCACAUUAAGGUGGAGCCCACACUCUGAACAACUCUGGCUUCUCAAGCCAUGUUGACCUGCAGGUGCCUAUAUCCCUCCUAGGGAAAUGGAGAAACUUCUUUUGAGAAGAUUUGGACAUUUUCCCAUUUACCGGGGAGCCUGAAAAGUCAAUCAUUUUAAAAAUAUGACUCACCUACUGCAAAUGUUAUCAAAGCAACUGUUUAUGAUACCAGCUAGAACUUGUGAGAUAUCAUGUGCAUGGUGGUCUUUCACUAUGAUCCCCACAGUUUUGGAGUACCAAGUGAAUGUUCCUUUUCUCUAUUCAUAAAUGGGACAGCAUGGCAGGAGUCCUGAGUCUUCUGGAAAUGAGGCAGUCUGAGUGUGGAGGAGGCUGUUGGACAUCUUCGGGAAAAAGAGAAGGGAUUCAGGACACAAUCUUCCUGUAGCUGGUGGUGGUGGUGGGACAAACCCUGGAGAAGCUGGAAAAAUGGCUUUUGUGUUCCUUCUGGUUUCUAAAUAGAUAUAUCCAGGUGGUAGCAGCCAUGGUGCCUUAUCUUGUUACCCAGAACCUCCGCAGUUUGCCAUUGAAGAAAUCAAGGUGUAAAGCAGCAUAAAGACUGGCUCAAAAAUGGUGGCAGUGCAGGCUUAGAGCCUCGUUCUUGCAGCAAUACUUUCUGCCACCCAUUCUCUUCUGCCCACUGCUCUCUGAAAGCCCUCUU